rnacentral:lncRNA from 1 species
AGCCUCCACCCGCCACCCCAGGAACCUCGUGCUUCUAGGUUACCCUGAUGGGCAGGACCCACUCCCAUCACUAAGAGAACAUCAAAAGGGCAGGUGUGGGGGUGGAUAGGAAGAUCAGGAUCUCUGAAAGGAAAUUUGCAUUGUGGUAACCUACAGACUCCACCUGGACCCAUGAUUCAUGACUCAACCAGUCCACCCAGAAGCUGACUCAGAGCAUAAGGAGCAUUUUCCACACCCCUAGGAUUUCAUCUCCAACCAAUCAGCAUUCCCCAUUCUCUAGCCCCUGUCCACCAAACUAUUCUUUAAAAACCUUAGCUCUAAGCUUUAUUUAUUUAUUUAAGUAAUACACUCCUGUCUUCCACUUAGCUGGUUCUGUAUUUAUUAAACUCUUUCUCUACUGCCAUACCGCUAUCUCAGUAAAUUAGCUCUAUCUGUGCAGUUGGCAAGAAGAACUGGUCAGGUGGUUAAAACACUACAGAUAGGCAUUGUUAAACAAAACAAUGGACUAAGCCCCUGCACUAGGCUCCAACAGAACAGACAAAAUCAAAAUGGAGUCACUCAUGCUAAAUGUCAUAUAAUCAAACUGAAACUCUAAGGAAGCUGAUAAAUCCUAAAACAGACCUUUUUUUUUCCUGAAAACAGGAAAUUUCAGUCUACCAGAGUCAACCUAGUAAGAAAGUUGCCUCUUCUUUGACCUUUAUGAGAAAGUAACCUGAAGUAACCUGACAUUAAUGAAUCAGCUUCUCUUCUACUAUUCUGUUUCCUUACUCCCACCUUACAAAGCUCACUGCUCUGCUUGCCCUAGUGAGAGAACUCAUUCUAUUGUGUAGAGUAGAGUCAGCCAUGAUUCAUGAAUUAUGAAUAAAAGACAAUUAGAUCUAUAA